UACGUAGGGUGCGAGCGUUAAUCGGAAUUACUGGGCGUAAAGCGUGCGCAGGCGGUUCGCCAAGUCAGGUGUGAAAUCCCCGGGCUUAACCUGGGAAUUGCGCUUGAAACUAGCGGGCUUGAGUGCGGCAGAGGGGGGUGGAAGUUCCACGGUGUAGCAGUGAAAUGCGUAGAGAUGUGGAGGAACACCGAUGGCGAAGGCAGCCCCCUGGGUCGACACUGACGCUCAUGCACGAAAGCGUGGGGAGCAAACAGG
rnacentral:rRNA from 1 species